GUGGGGAAUUUUGGACAAUGGGCGAAAGCCUGAUCCAGCAAUGCCGCGUGAGUGAAGAAGGCCUUCGGGUUGUAAAGCUCUUUCAGUUGAGAAGAAAAAGUUACGACUAAUAAUCGUGAUUCAUGACGGUAUCAACAGAAGAAGCACCGGCUAACUACGUGCCAGCAGCCGCGGUAAUACGUAGGGUGCAAGCGUUAAUCGGAAUUACUGGGCGUAAAGGGUGCGCAGGCGGUUCUGUAAGUCAGAUGUGAAAUCCCCGGGCUUAACCUGGGAAUUGCGUUUGAAACUGCAGAGCUAGAGUGUGGCAGAGGGGGGUGGAAUUCCAUGUGUAGCAGUGAAAUGCGUAGAGAUAUGGAGGAACAUCGAUGGCGAAGGCAGCCCCCUGGGUUAACACUGACGCUCAUACACGAAAGCGUGGGUAGCAAACAGGAUUAGAUACCCGAGUAGUCC
rnacentral:rRNA from 1 species